rnacentral:lncRNA from 1 species
CACUGUGCCACGGGACCCUGGUCUUUGAAACCUUGGCGUGCGCGAGAAUUUCCCAGUGAGUUUGUUAAAAUGCAGAUUCCUCGGGUCUGCGUAGACAGACUGUGCCCCACGCUUUUCUAAGUCAGUUGUUUCUCGGGCUACCCUUUAAGAGACACUGCUGGAUGGCCUGGUGAAGAAAAUACAGAAACAGAUGGGUACAAGAACUAAGAAAACGGCUAAGAAAGUGUUUUGGUCCUGACUACUACCAUUUCGCUCUGUGAUUUGGGGCAAUUCACAUUGCCCUUUCUUCUUUGUCAAAAGACAAAAUCACAACAAACUUAGUUCAAAGAUUUUUUUUUUCUUAAGAGACGGACUCUGGCAAUGUUGCCCAGGCUGGAAGGCAGUGGCUAUUCACAGGUGCGGUCAUAGCAAUCAUGGCUAUCACAGGUGCAUCCUGGAACUCCUGGCCUCAAGUGAUCCUUCUGCCUCAGCCUCCGGAGUAGCUGGGACUUAAGGUAUGACAGAGCCAAAACUCCAAGUCAUGUCAGUAGGGCAUGCCCAAUAGAAAAUGCUUUGACAUCUAACAACACCCAGAACCAAUGAUUCCUCCCUGUGGUACCAAGAAGACCUAGACAUGAUCGGAACCUAAAUGCUGGAACUCUUUCAGGAGCAAAGGGUCUGUUGACCAGAAAGAUCCAGGGGUAAAAUCCACCUCAACAUACCCGUGUAGUCAAAUUUGACACCCUCCAAUCAGACCCUGCCAAGCCAAAAUUCCUAAUACGUUUCCUUGCCAUCUGUAUUAGUCUGUUUUCACGCUGCUGACAAAGACAUACCUGAGACUGGACAAUUUACAAAAGAGGUUUAAUUGGACUUACAGUUCCACGUGGCUGGGGAAACCUCACAAUCAUGGCAGAAGGCAAGGAGGAGCAAGUCACAUCUUACAUGGAUGGCAGCAGGCAAAAACAAAGAGCUUGUACAGGGAAACUCCUGUUUCUCAAAACCAUCAGACCUCAUGAGACUUAUUCACUAUCACAAGAACAGCACAAGAAAGACCUGCCCCUAUGAUUCAAUUAUCUCCCACUGGGUCCCUCCCACAACAUGUGAGAAUUCAAGAUGAGAUUUGGGUGGGGACACAGCCAAACCAUAUCACCCUCUGACCCCUUAAAUCUUGCCCCAGACCCCAAAUUAGGAGACAGAUGUGAGCCAUGCCUCCAGUCUCCUUGCUGGGUGGCCCUGCAAUAAAGCCUUUCUGUUCU